AGAAGCAACAGCCCUAGUGGCGGGGCCAGCUCUGCAGCCCUGGAGUCAGCCCCCGCAGUAGCUUCAGAGCUCUCCGUCUGCAGGGCCUGGAGGCUCCAGGGCGGG
rnacentral:pre_miRNA from 1 species